rnacentral:lncRNA from 1 species
AUUUUAACCCCUUUGAACCCUAAAUUUCAUAGCAUAUGAAUAUGAAAAUCUCACUUCUUUGUAUCUAUUACUCCAUUUCACUUUGUACCUACUAAAAUCAUUCUAAUCUAACCUUUUUAAGAUGACUAAAGUUGAGAUCCAACUAGGAGAUGUCAUCACCCUUUUACUUUGUUGCAGAACUACAGUAGAGAUGAUAUUCUAG